UACGGAAGAUGCGAGCGUUAUCCGGAUUUAUUGGGUUUAAAGGGAGCGUAGGCGGGCCUUUAAGUCAGCGGUUAAAUGUCAGCGCCCAACGUUGGCGUGCCGUUGAUACUGGAGGUCUUGAAUACACACAAGGGCGGUGGAAUUCGUCGUGUAGCGGUGAAAUGCUCAGAUAUGACGAAGAACUCCGAUUGCGAAGGCAGCCGCCUGGGGUGCGAUUGACGCUGAGGCUCGAAAGUGCGGGUAUCGAACA
rnacentral:rRNA from 1 species